UACGAACCGUCCUAACGUUAUUCGGAAUUACUGGGCUUAAAGGGUGCGUAGGCGGCGCGGAAAGUUGGGUGUGAAAUCCCUCGGCUUAACCGAGGAACUGCGCCCAAAACUACCGUGCUUGAGGGAGAUAGAGGUGAGCGGAACUUAGGGUGGAGCGGUGAAAUGCGUUGAUAUCCUAAGGAACACCGGUGGCGAAAGCGGCUCACUGGAUCUCUUCUGACGCUGAGGCACGAAAGCUAGGGUAGCAAACGGG
rnacentral:rRNA from 1 species